rfam:Operophtera brumata OBRT01_Sc11950, whole genome shotgun sequence.
CACAAGGCCCUUUUCAGGGCCAUGCAUCUAAACCUGGUCACUGAAU